CCUCACUCGAGCAGGUAUCUCUUUUCCAAAAGGAGGGACAAACAGAGCUGUUGCACUGGAGUGGAAGGACACCACUGGCUCUGAAUGCUGCAGUCAGCAGGAAUUGCACAAGAGUUAAGUGACCCAACAGCCCAGCGAGAGGCUUCUUUCGGAUAGCUGGCAGAAAACCUGGCUUUAAAAGAGGAGCUCAGACAGGAAGCAGCAAUGUUCCAGGAGGAUUUCUGAGUCAAGCAGGAGAGCAACUGGCUUCUUGAAGUGUGAAUUUCAAAGCUCCCUAAAACCCUUGGCUGCACAGUUGGAGCAGUCAGGACUGAGGAACCAGCACCCCAGAGGACCUGCAUUUCCCCAGCACUUGCACCUGGAGUCAUGGCUGAGCUGCAGAAGCCUCUUCAGAGUGAGAAGAGAAAUCUCCAUGCUCAGACAGGCAUUGAAACAGCUAAUUUGAGUGGACACCAAGUCCAGGCUGCUUUUGAAACUGUCUCAUGUCCAUGCCUGAGCUUUUAAUCCUGUCUGAGAUAACAAAGUGUGCUCAGAAAUAAUGUAACAGCAAGAGUGACAGCAGAGGCUGCUCAAGCAGGACAGUGAAACAGGAGUGACUUGAGCUGCUGGAAGCUGGCCUGUUACAGUUCGGGAACGCGUGAUCCAGUGAGCACGGCUCAUAAAUCAGCUCCAUAAAAGGGUCACAGGGAAAAAGAAAAAACCAAACCAUCCUGGGGUUGUGUUUUGCAGGGCUGUUCCAGCAGCAGCAGGUAAGUGAAACCUCAAUCUGGCAGGCAAAACAAGCGGGCUGAGCCCUCCAGUGCAGCUGCCAAGGGUUCAGGAGCAGCAGCCACAGCUUUCCCCUGGCCUCUGCGUAAGAUGAGGUGGAGUGCGGGCUUUUUGGGCAGAGCAGUGGCAUCCCUGAUGCCACAGUUCAGUGGGGGUAUCCUCACCGUG